AGAAAUGCUCGACGUCGUGCCUGUUGAAGAAUGAUCCGGCGAGUUAAUGGUGCAAGCAGGUUAAAUUUUCAGUGAAAGCUGGGGAUGGAGCCGUAGCGAAAGCGAGUCCGAAUAGGGCGAUUACGUUUGCAUCAUUAGACCCGAAACCAAGUGAUCUAUGCCUGGACAGAGUGAAGCCUCAGUAAAAUGAGGUGGAGGCUCGAAGUGUUACGUGUUGAAGAACGUCUACAUGAGCUGGGUAUAGGGGUGAAAGGCCAAUCGAACUUGGAAAUAGCUGGUUCUCCCCGAAAUAGUUUUAGGACUAGCCUCAUGCGUUUCUUGCGGGGGGUAGAGCUCUGGAUAAUGUAGGGCCUGCAACCCAGGUUCCGAAGUUAACCAAACUGCGAAUACCUGCAAGUAUAAGCAUGGGAGUCAGUGUACGAGGGCUAAGCUUCGUACGCGAAAGGGAAACAGCCCAGACCGUCGUCUAAGGUCCCCUAAAUCAAUGCUAAGUGGUAAAGGAUGUGGAUUUACCGAGACAGCUGG
rnacentral:rRNA from 1 species